rnacentral:lncRNA from 1 species
AAUAUUUGAGAGUAUUUAUCCCAAGAUAUGUACAUUUCCUUCUGAAUUAUGAUACCAUGAAUCUCCACAUUUUUACUGCUGGCAAACCUUAGUUUCUUUUUAGUAUAAAAAUUAAUUCAAACAGAUCUUUUAAUGGUUUCUUUUUGAACCUAAGCCCAUCAUUUUGUGUGCCCCUAAGGCUGUGUGCACCUCAUUUUGGAGAGGAAGGAGAAAGGAUGGAGUUUGGAUUAACUUGUUUAAAUAUGGUUCUUUAUUCUUUUUUAAGAUCUAUAAGGCUUCAAGGUGAGGAAGGGACUGCAGAAACUUUCUAAUAGAUCCUGAGAGCUUUUAGAAGUGAGGAAGAAAGUUAUUUAUUUUUCUUUAUAUAUACUCUUAGAGGCAUUUGUAGAUAUAGAGUGUAACAUGGCCAAAAUGUUUCUGCAAAUUAUAGAAUUAAACGACAAAUGCCAUUUUAUGAAAGACUAGGAAGAGUUUUUUUUUUUUUUAAUCAGAAAGCCCUUCAAAUGUUAAUUGCUUAUCUUGAAUAAGGCCACCUCCAAUCAGAAUUACCAUUCAUAUCAGUGCACUUGAAAAUCCCAAGAAACAAAUAGCUCAGUGACCAUUUUAAACUAUAGGAGCAAGGUCCAAGGAAAACUAAGCUGAGAGAAAAGGUGAUUCUGCUAACUUCACUUUAAAUCACAAAUUUCAAGUUAAAAAAAACAUCUAUAGUAUAUCAGCCACACUUCAUCUCCCUGGCACGUGGGUUUAUUACAGCAUAGGAAAACCAGAAAUUGUAACACAAGCUGACUUUACAGACUCCUCAUGUUAAAAUUUGAGAUGUUUUCAGAACAGUCACCCUCAAAAUGGGUGCUUGCUAAGACAUGCUGACAUACCUCUGAAAUCAAAAAGAGUUUCUACUGGGUGAAUAAAAGUAGGUUGCCACAAAAAUGUACAUCAAUUACAAAACAAGUCACUGAGUGUUUGCCAACUGCCAUGAGUGUCCCGGAGGCAGUCUGGGCAGUAUAUUUUUAUUCGAUUUGCUCCAGGCCACUUCCAUUCUCUUCCUGAAAGGUGGACAGGUAGUGUUUUUAAAUCCUUCGCUGAUGGUUUCCAUCAAUGACCUCAAAAUGGAACUGAUAACAUGUCAAUGAUUACUGUAUAAAGAAGUUAAGCAUCACAGCUAAAUUUCCUCACUGAAACCCAAUCCAGGGAUUAGCAACAAUAGGGAAUCUGUUUUAUUUGCAUUUAAUUUGUACCUUCACACUAUUAUCUCCCAUGUUUUAGUUUCGGGAAAUGUGGUCUCAGGCUAUUAUAACCACAUUUCAUGCUGCUGUUGCACUGUUAUUUGAUCUCUAUGGUUGGAAAUGACUUACU